GGUUAUGUGUCAAAAUGAUGGACUUAGCUCAACUUGUAGGCGGUUCUUCCCGACCUUCAUAUCGAGGAAGAUACAAGUACAACUGAACAAGCUAAGACCCAUUUGCGUAAUGCUAACGUUUCUUCGACUUUAAACAAGACAGUCGGAGAACCUAAGAAUCCGAAAACUGAGUGAUGUGUAUUUUUAAAGUAUAUUGGCCUGCAUGGCACUUGAACCUAUUUUUAUAAUCAUCUUUUUUUUAUGAAAGGAAAGGUUUCUAUGUUUAUGGUAGUAGUGGCAAUAGUACGCUGUCAAUACGGCGAUCUAAUUGAUUUAAGGGAACAUGAAACGUUUAACGAUAAUUGAUCUCUCAAUCUAUUUAAUACAACGGAUUAAUGCAUUAAAUAAGCUUAUCAUAAUGUUGGGAACAAACGCUUGUAAGGCACGCACUAGUAGUUCGCUUCAUUUGGUUUCGUUUUGCAAAUAUGAAGUGUGGGAAAAACACGCAAUUAGUCAUUGAAAGAUGCUCUACUGUCAUAUUUUUUUCCCAGUAAAAAAACGUGUUUUAAUUCAAUAUAAUAAAGAUAUUGAUAAAUUUUGAUACAAGUUUUAAAAAAUUUUGAA